rnacentral:rRNA from 1 species
UACGUAGGGUGCGAGCGUUGCCCGGAUUUAUUGGGCGUAAAGGGCGCGCAGGCGGCUACGCACGUCCGUUGUGAAAUCGCUCGGCUCAACUGGGCGGGGUCAGCGGAUACGGCGUAGCUGGAGCAAGCUAGGGGGCAAUGGAAUUCCGGGUGUAGCGGUGGAAUGCGUAGAGAUCCGGAAGAAUACCGGUGGCGAAGGCGGCCUGCUGGGCAGUGGCUGACACUGAGGCGCGACAGCGUGGGGAGCAAACAGG